GCUCACGUAGUUCAGUCGGUAGAACGGCGGACUGUUAAUCCGUAUGUCGCAGGUUCGAAACCUGCCGUGAGCGC
rnacentral:tRNA from 2 species